AUUGAACGCUGGCGGCAGGCUUAACACAUGCAAGUCGAGCGAGCGGCGGACGGGUGAGUAAUGUCUGGGAAACUGCCCGAUGGAGGGGGCUAACUACUGGAAACGGUAGCUAAUACCGCAUACUAUCAGAUGUGCCUAUAUGGGAUUAGCUAGUAGGUGGGGUAAUGGCUCACCUAGGCAACGAUCCCUAGCUGGUCUGGGAGGAUGACCAACCACACUGGGACUGAGACACGGUCCAGACUACUACGGGAGGCAGCAGGGGGGAAUUUGGGACAAUGGGCGCAAGCCUGAUGCAGCCAUGCCGCGUGUGUGAAGAAGGCCUUCGGGUUGUAAAGCACUUUCGGCGAGGAGGCGUUACUCGCAGAAGAAGCACCGGCUAACUCCGUGCCAGCAGCCGCGGUAAUUC
rnacentral:rRNA from 1 species